GAGGGUUUCCUAUUCUCUUCUCUACUCUUCUCCGUCGCAAGUUCUCUGUUCCAGAUGAAAAAUGUUGACUUUCACUGUAUGAAACUUGAGUUCUUCGUGUAUCUGUUGUGAGUUAUCAAUCAAAUACCAUGGAUUAAAGCUGGUCCUGUGUUUAUCAACUAUCAAAAGUGCGUUCUCCGAUGGAUGGGAUGAAGCUCUUCUUUUUGUGUUGUGUUGAGGGUCUCAGAUUCCUGGAUGAUACUUCAGAUUUAUUUGCUAAUGGGAUGGAGAUAGUAAGAUGCUCGGACCCGCAUGAAAAUAAACUGUAGUAGUUCAUCUAGGUGUUUCAAAUGCCAAUAUCUAUUCCGACCCUCCCCCUUUUUGCUGAGAGUCCCUUUUGAGGGCUGACAUAGAUUAGGCUAGGAAACUUAUUGUGUCUUUUUGUUAGUUUCCUCAUUGUAAAUAUCUGGUUGUGUAUCUCUGAACACUCUAGCCUACUCAGCCUGUUCACUCUCUUGUUACUCUCAUCCUUGUGUAAGGACAUUGUAAUUUAUCACCGUCAAAAAUAUAAAUUAUUUUUUCUGGUAGUUUCGUAGUAGUUUUUGAUUCAUGUUUCAAUUAGGAUUUUGAAGAAACUUACAUGCACAAAUACGUUUUUUAUUAUAAUUAAUGGAGUAGGAAAUCACAAUUUAAGUUAGGAAUGUACAAAAAUCGAAUCGAUAAAAUGUUAUUGAUUUAUCGUUAUUGAGUAAUCUUAUAAAAAAAAAUAAAUUAUUGAGUUAUUAAUUCAAUUUUAAUUUUUUUUACUAUGUCUAAAUAGUAGUGGAUGUAGUUAAGAAGCUAAAGGUUCUUAACUACAUACCUAACCCCUACAUACUUUACCCAAUAACCCGGUAAAAAAAAUAUUAAAAUCAAAUUAAUAAUUCAAUAAUUUUUUUUUAUAAAAUCAUUAUAAGUCGUUAACUCAUUAGCAAUAAAUUAAUAAUAUUUUUAUUAGUUUGAUUUUUGUACACUUGUAACUUAAAUUGUGAUUUUUUACUCCAUUAAUUAUAAUAAGAAACGUAUUUGUGCAUAUGAGUUUCCUUAAAAUCCUAAUCAAAACACUAAUUAAAAACUACAAAAAAAAAAAAAAAUUGUUUUAGACAAACAGAAAAGAUAGUGUAAUUUGACAUAAAGCGUAAAAGGUAAUUUUUUAUAAU